GCAGAAUCUCUCUGGCAACGAGGUGGAGGACUCUGCUCCAUGCACUCAGCAGGUUUGACCUCCUUUUAUAUGACACAACUAUCAUGCAAAACCACUAUCAUCACAAUUUCUGUAUGGAUUACACACAUUUUCUUUGAAAAGAAACCCUUUUCUAAACUAUUACUUUAUUUAUUCUAUUUUUCUUUGUCUCUCCUUCUCAUCCUAGUUGUCAACAGUUGGGUUGCGAGACUGUUUUGUGCGUCUCAACCCUAUCCAUUUCAGUCCACACCUGCUGGAUGCCAUGGAGAAGAUUUCGCCAUCCCAGCUUCCCAACCCUGUUCCACAAGAUGAUGAGGUCAGUGAAAAUGUCAAACUACAGCAACACUUUGACUGUUCAUUCAUAAAAUGUUUUGUGUUUCACAACAACAAUGCUUAGAAGAAAUAUUUUUUUAUUCAGAUGCCACGUGUGGAACCACGCAGGACUGUGGUUGC